GUCACCCUCUAUCCGUGUGUCCCUGAUGCAGUGCCCCCCACUAACCAGUCGAAGGAGGACUUUGCCACAGUGGAGGAAGAGGAGGAGGAAGACCUGGCCACAGAGAACAAGGAGGAGCAGGAAGAGGAAGUCCUGGAAAUGGAAAAGAAGGAAGACCUGGCCAUGGAGGAGGACGAGGAAGACCUGGCCCUGGAGGAGGAGGAGGACCUGUCUGCCGAGGAGGAGGUGGAUGUGUUUGUGGAAGAGGAGGGCGCCAAACCACGGUGGGGGAGGGGGCAAGGGUAAGAACAUAGAGGAGGAGGAGGACCUGGCCAUGGAGUAAGAGGUUGACCUUGAAAUGGAGACGGGAGACCUCACCAUGGAGGAGGAGGAAGACCAUAAGGACUUGGCCAUAAAGGAGUAGGAGGACCUGACCAUGUGGGAGGAGGAGAAGGACCUGUCAAAGGAGGUAGAGGACCUGGCUGAGGAGGAGGAUGUGGAGCACUUGGACAGAGAGGAUGUGGAGGACCUGGCCACAGGAGGGGUGGAGGAUGAAUCCCUGCCCACAGAGGAGGCAAAGGAGGACCUGACCAUGGAACCAGAGGAAGACCUGACUGUGGAGGAGGAGGAGAAAGACCUGGCCAAGGAGGUAGAAGACCUGGCUGAGGAGAAGGAUGUGGAGGACCUGGCCACAGAAGAGGAGGAGGAUGAAGCCCUGGCCCCAGAGGAGGCCAUGGAACAAGAGGAGGACCUGACAAUGGAGGAAGACAAAGAGGAGUAGGAGUAGCAGUGGCAGCAGCAGGAGGAGGAGGAGAAGGACCUGGCCAUGGAAGAAGAAGAAGAAGAGGUCAUCAUGGAGCAUUUUCAGGGUGGAGACAAGUUUGCUGGGUUCAAGACAUGGCUGAGCAGAUCCAGUUCCUCUGUGCCAUCCCCACCUUUUGCUUCACCAUACAGAAGAGUAGGCAGGACACCCUCUCCAUAGCAGCUUUGGCAGAGAAGACCGUGAUAUCACCAGAGCUGAUUGAGAAGCUGCCCCUGGUCUCUGCACACAGCUCUGUCCUCUACUGCUCUGGGCUCACAAUGUGCAACCUCUGGUACCAGAGUCUCCCAUCCAGCUCCUCCAGACCAGUGCUACUCAGGCCCAGAGCCGCUAUCUCCUCUGUGGUCAGGUUUUCCUCCAUCUCCUAAACAGCCUGCAGUGAUGGGUAAGGAAACCCAUGGCCACACAGAGACACCAUGGGCACAGGUGGGGAGUGAAUCUGGGCCUUUCACCACCAACAGCACAAGCCCUGUCAGGCUCCCAUUCAGGAAGCCAUGGAAGGCUCUGUCUGCAGACACCCCCUCUCCAAUCCCACUGCCAGACUGUUGCCUGCAGUGACAAUGAAGGAGCAGGAGAACUCCUGCAAGAGAACCCCAGGGCUGCACAGUCGGGUGUCACUGGGAUGUCUCUGGGAGCCAUUUACAGAGUGUUGGGUUAGAGAAGGAAAAUGGCCUCAACACAGUGUUUCUCUGCUCCCAGAUUCUCAGCCAGGGAGGCCACCCUGCAGAAUAUGGCCCAGCAGUUUGUUGAUGGGAUGCAGGAGUCACCGCAUAGGUGUACGGCAGCUGUUGCACCUACAUUGACCCUGGGCCAAAACCUGCAGCUCUGACAGCCCAGGAUACCCCCCACUGGUGGCAAUGGGAGUGUAGCCUGGGUAACUAGCUGCUGGAGCCAGGGCAUAUAGAGAGAGGACUCAGAUGCAGCAAACCAAUGGCUAGCGUAGCUCCAUCCAAAGAAGUGAAGGAUGUAGGAAAAGAGGAAAGCUAGGGGGAGCUGCUGCAGUCAAGGGAUCCCAGCCGGAAGACAGAAGAUGCGAAACUCUCUCCAGUGGCUGGGAGCAGUGCUGAGAAAAAGCAGUUUGGCAGCUAGAUCAUUAGAAAUAAAUAUGAAAUUAAUCAGGAGCUUUCUCCGGUGUGAUGAUGUCUAUAAAAUGUCUCUUGACUGUCAAACUAAACUUGAAAAUAUUCUGCUCCAAUUUCAGGAUGGAUCUAGAAACAUAAUCACUCACUGUAGGAACUUAAGUCUCAGAAUCGAUCCUAAGCACUUGGUUCUACAUUUGAGCUCAACCAAAUAGUUUCCUUCUGUGGCAGCAGUAGUAGGUGUCACAGUUCAGAGCAGCUGUCCCUGGAUUUCCCCUUGGAGGUCCAGCCGGGGCAUCUGCUUUCAGUUUCCUGCUUCCUAGUCAUUGGAGAUCCUCGUCUUUCUCCCUCCUGACUGGGGUAUUGCUAGGCUAAACAGGUCCGUGCCUCACUGUGGUGUUCCCAGCCGAAUCAGGUCCGCUUGUUUUUUCUGCAGAGACUAGGAACAGUGUAACUGCCCACGGUUCUAAGUUACCAUGCAGCUCUUUCUAAGCAAGCCUAGUUCAUGCUGACCGUGAAAGCAUUAGAGAGAACAUAUUACAAAUAAUAAAAGAACCUACAUGUCUGGUAAUAAGCUUUCCAGAUAUGUUUGCUGCAUACCUGAGCCCUCACUCCACCCCCCCAUCUCUACAAGGGGUCUGGUUGGUGCAACCCUUCCCUAAGGACUGGGGCCCUGUGUGAACCUGAGGCUGUCUGCUUACUGGAUCAUCAGCUUAAACUCAGUCUAUUGAUUCCAAAGUCCUUUCUUUGUCUGUUGGUCCCUGGUGACUCCAGUUUCGGUCUUUGAACAGUCUUCUUCUAACAGGAGAUCAACAGACAAAAUGUUCCCCCUCAGGUCGAAGUUUGAAAGGCUUAGUCCCUGGGUGGGGUCUUAAACUGCCUGGCCAGCAGGGCGGGGUGCAGACACUGAGUAAAUGACAAUGUCUGUGAAAACAAGAGCAGGCCUUCCUGCCAAGGAAUGGGUCAACUCAGGCCAGCAGACAAAAUGUUCCCCCUUCAAGGCAAAGUUUGAAGUUUGAAUCCCUAUACUUCCUAGGAAUUCUGUUUCACACAUACUGUCCCAAAAGAUCAUCCUUGUCUGCCACCUUGUUCCACAGAGUCUUUUCAAGUUCACAGUGCUGCCCAGAUCAGGGCCGGCUCUACCAUUUUUGCCGCCCUAAGCAAAAA